rnacentral:tRNA from 1 species
GUAUCCAUAUGGUAUCCAUAGAAGUCCGGUUUUUGUUCUCUCACGCCGAAAACGGGGGUUCGACUCCCCCUGGGGACGCCA